rnacentral:tRNA from 1 species
UCUAAUAUGGCAGAAAAGUGCAAUGGAUUUAAGCUCCAUACAUAGAGGCUAGCCCUCUUAUUAGAA